rnacentral:rRNA from 1 species
AACGAACGCUGGCGGCAGGCUUAACACAUGCAAGUCGAACGCACCUUUCGGGGUGAGUGGCAGACGGGUGAGUAACGCGUGGGAAUCUACCCUUCUCUACGGGAUAGCUCCGGGAAACUGGAAUUAAUACCGUAUACGUCCUGAGGGAGAAAGAUUUAUCGGGGAAGGAUGAGCCCGCGUUGGAUUAGCUAGUUGGUGGGGUAAAGGCCUACCAAGGCGACGAUCCAUAGCUGGUCUAAGAGGAUGAUCAGCCACAUUGGGACUGAGACACGGCCCAAACUCCUGCGGGAGGCAGCAGUGGGGAAUAUUGGACAAUGGGCGCAAGCCUGAUCCAGCCAUGCCGCGUGAGUGAUGAAGGCCCUAGGGUUGUAAAGCUCUUUCAGUGGGGACGAUAAUGACGGUACCCACAGAAGAAGCCCCGGCUAACUUCGUG